UGGGGAAUAUUGGACAAUGGGCGCAAGCCUGAUCCAGCCAUGCCGCGUGAGUGAUGAAGGCCCUAGGGUUGUAAAGCUCUUUCACCGGUGAAGAUAAUGACGGUAACCGGAGAAGAAGCCCCGGCUAACUUCGUGCCAGCAGCCGCGGUAAUACGAAGGGGGCUAGCGUUGUUCGGAUUUACUGGGCGUAAAGCGCACGUAGGCGGACUAUUAAGUCAGGGGUGAAAUCCCGGGGCUCAACCCCGGAACUGCCUCUGAUACUGGUAGUCUUGAGUUCGAGAGAGGUGAGUGGAAUUCCGAGUGUAGAGGUGAAAUUCGUAGAUAUUCGGAGGAACACCAGUGGCGAAGGCGGCUCACUGGCUCGAUACUGACGCUGAGGUGCGAAAGCGUGGGGAGCAAACAGG
rnacentral:rRNA from 1 species